GAGUUUGAUCGUGGCUCAGGAUGAACGCUGGCGGCGUGGAUAAGGCAUGCAAGUCGUACGAUUCCUUUGGUUUUAGCAAUAAAAUUUUUGGAAUAGUGGCAAACGGGUUAGUAACGCGUAGGAACAUACCUCGAAGACGGGGAUAACCAGCCGAAAGGUUGGCUAAUACCCGAUGGUCCCGCAAGGGUAAAGCAGCAAUGCGCUUCGAGAGUGGCCUGCGUACUAUCAGCUAGUUGGUAGGGUAAUGGCCUACCAAGGCUAUGACGGUUAGGGGGACUGAGAGGUCGGCCCCCAACAUCGGGACUGAGACACUGCCCGGACUCCUACGGGAGGCUGCAGUCGAGAAUCUUCCGCAAUGCACGAAAGUGUGACGGAGCGACGCCGCGUGAGCGAUGAAGGACUUCGGUCUGUAAAGCUCUUUUUACUGGGAGCAAUUUUUGAGUUAACCAGUAGAAUAAGGGACUGCUAAACUCGUGCCAGCCGCCGCAGU
rnacentral:rRNA from 1 species